AUCGCUUCUCGGCCUUUUGGCUAAGAUCAAGCGUAGUAUCUGUUCUUAUCAGUUUAAUAACUCUGACUUUCAAAUAAAUAAAUAAAUAAAUCUUUAAAAAACAAAGAAAAUAUUUUCUCCCAUUUUGUUGGUUUUCUCUUGACUUUAAUUGAUUCCUUGCUGUACAGAUGCUUUUUAGGUUGAUAUC